rnacentral:rRNA from 1 species
UACGUAGGGGGCUAGCGUUGUCCGGAUUUAUUGGGCGUAAAGAGCGUGUAGGCGGCCAGAUAGGUCUGCUGUGAAAACUCGAGGCUCAACCUCGAGAUGUCGGCGGAAACCAUUUGGCUAGAGUCCGGAAGAGGAAAGUGGAAUUCCUGGUGUAGCGGUGAAAUGCGCAGAAUAUCAGGAAGAACACCGGUGGCGAAGGCGGCCUGCUGGGCAGUUUAGCUGACACUGAGGCGCGACAGCGUGGGGGAGCAAACAGG